rnacentral:rRNA from 1 species
UACGAAGGGUGCAAGCGUUAAUCGGAAUUACUGGGCGUAAAGCGUGCGUAGGUGGUUGUUCAAGUCUGUGGUGAAAGCCCUGGGCUCAACAUGGGAAUUGCGAUGGAAACUGGAUGGCUAGAGUCCGGUAGAGGAGCACGGAAUUUGUGGUGUAGCGGUGGAAUGCGCAGAUAUCACAAGGAACACCGGUAGCGAAGGCGGCUCUCUGGAACAGUACUGACGCUGAGGCGCGAAAGCUAGGGGAGCAAACAGGAUUAGA